GACGAACGCUGGCGGCGUGCUUAACACAUGCAAGUCGAGCGGUAAGGCCCUUUCGGGGGUACACGAGCGGCGAACGGGUGAGUAACACGUGGGUGACCUGCCCUCAGCUCUGGGAUAAGCCUGGGAAACCGGGUCUAAUACUGGAUAUGACUCCAUGACGCAUGUUGUGGGGUGGAAAGCCUUGUGCGGCUGAGGAUGGGCCCGCGGCCUAUCAGCUUGUUGGUGGGGUGANGGCCUACCAAGGCGACGACGGGUAGCCGGCCUGAGAGGGCGACCGGCCACACUGGGACUGAGACACGGCCCAGACUCCUACGGGAGGCAGCAGUGGGGAAUCUUGCGCAAUGGGCGAAAGCCUGACGCAGCGACGCCGCGUGAGGGAUGA
rnacentral:rRNA from 1 species